AUUGAACGCUGGCGGCAGGCCUAACACAUGCAAGUCGAGCGGAUGAAGGGAGCUUGCUCCUGGAUUCAGCGGCGGACGGGUGAGUAAUGCCUAGGAAUCUGCCUGGUAGUGGGGGAUAACGUCCGGAAACGGGCGCUAAUACCGCAUACGUCCUGAGGGAGAAAGUGGGGGAUCUUCGGACCUCACGCUAUCAGAUGAGCCUAGGUCGGAUUAGCUAGUUGGUGGGGUAAAGGCCUACCAAGGCGACGACCCGUAACUGGUCUGAGAGGAUGAUCAGUCACACUGGAACUGAGACACGGUCCAGACUCCUACGGGAGGCAGCAGUGGGGAAUAUUGGACAAUGGGCGAAAGCCUGAUCCAGCCAUGCCGCGUGUGUGAAGAAGGUCUUCGGAUUGUAAAGCACUUUAAGUUGGGAGGAAGGGCAGUAAGUUAAUACCUUGCUGUUUUGACGUUACCAACAGAACAAGCACCGGCUAACUUCGUG
rnacentral:rRNA from 1 species